rnacentral:ncRNA from 2 species
AGCUAGCGAAGGCAUGAUGGUUCCCGCGCCCACCCGGGCCGGGAUGAAAAGGGAACACGGUGCGGUUCUGCCCGGAUAAAACCGGAAAGAACCUAGUCCGGGACUGCCCCCGCAACUGUAAGCGGAGAGCGAUGUCGAGAUACCACUGGCCUUGAAGGCUGGGAAGGUCGGCAAAGCGAUGACCCGCAAGUCAGGAGACCUGCCAUCGGAUGCAAAACUGA